CUUAACCACUGAGCCCUCUCUCCAGCCCGGGCAACUUCUUAAACACAAUAGAGGAAGCCUCUUUCCCCCUGCGUUUGUAAACCCUGUGCCAGGAUGCAUAGCCAGCAGAUUGCAGAACAUUUCAGCUACCCACCCACCUCCAUAGCUGUGCACUUUCCCCGGAUAUAAAUGUAAGGUUCAAUUGCCAGCUCACUUGGUCGUAACCAACCUGGGCGAGUAUCUCUACCCGUGUUUUUCUGUGCCAGAUAAAAUGGAGGCUGUGUUAAAAAUCAUUUUUUCCCGCACUCUUCCUACCUGCCGUGUGGAUGAAAAUCGGGAGCCCUUGGGAUAUGGAGCUAUUUAAAAAUAAAUGUGCAUAUGUAACCGUAGCGAGCGAUUAUAUCCAUCCUGAAUGGACUUUGCCCUAAGAAAAAUAAAAAGUCAAGCUUUGGGGUUUUAUUUCAUUUCCCAGAACCCAAGUGGAUUGGGCAUGAUUGAAUCGCCUGUGUUUGGCUGGGCUCCUCUAUGUAAUACUGGCUUGUCGGACUGGUUUGAGUGGACCCAGCUGUAAAACUAAGAAGCCCCUCUGGACACAAUCUCUUCCCAGAUGCUGAAAAUACCUCCUCUUUGAGAAGUUGGGGGAAAUAAUUCUGCUCCAACAAUAGGACAUUCUUUCUUCUUGAAGGUUUUGUUUUUACAGGGAAUAGGAGUGGAGCGAGAGGUUAUGCUGUGCCACAAGGCACUGCCCAGAGCUGGGACACAGUCCUAACCUAGUUAGGAGACUGGGAAUUUGAUCCAGUACCCUGAAGAGAAUAUUGUUCUGUGUUUCACAUUAGACACAGCGCCCUUGUCCCGACGGCGCAUCUACGGUGACUGCAUGUACAUACGUGCACAUGUGGGGCGAGAAUCCCUAAGGUUCUUGGACCCGAGUUUGUUUUUACUUCUGCGGGCAUCUCGGUCAAAAUCCCAGCCCUGACAUCGUUUGCCAAGUUGCACUAGAAUAGCUGGGCUUAUGCUGUGGGCGGGCAGCUCCUUCUCUCCCUACCGGUGGCUUUGUGGAGUAGCUGCCGAGCUGUGACCUCCGGCGGGAACUUGGUUGCUUUUGCUUCCCACUCAGGGUGGACUGGCUACUCGGCCCACACAACCUUCUAAAAAGAUGGCUGCCUUUUUUGGCUGUUGUUGUUCGCCACUUAGUUGGAGAGUCUUGCUUCUUGAUUCAAUCUGAGCAGCUGUGAGAGCUAAGAUUGAAACAAAACAAAAAAAGCUUCACCUCUGUCUGAUGUUGACUUUCAAAUUGGCUAGAAGGCUCCUGGGGAUUAGACAGAAAAUAUGUGCUACCUUCUUGGGAGGAUAAUUUUUCUUUCUUUUUAAUAGAAAACUUCUGACUUAGACAAAAAGGCCAAGAGAAUCUAUUUUUAAAAAAGCCAGAGUAUCUCAUGUGGCUAUUUCGAUGGAAAACAAAAACGAUACCUAAGCCUUGCACGGCACCUUUCUCCCUAGGCAGGAACCACAAACUUAGGAAGUUAGUGGUAAUAACUCAGCUCACCGGGGAUCUAAAGUAAUUAAAGGGGUUUUGCAAAAACUCAACCCGGAAUGGAUUCAAUCUGGAUACCCCUGCCUUCCUUGGGAAGUAGUUGAAAAUACACAUUCAGAUUUCAGAUAGAAAAGUAUUUUGGGACUGGGGGGCAUAUGCAGGUCAUCGCAAGGUGUUUGCCCAGUGCACAGGGCCUGGCUUCAAUCACAGCUUGGUCAAAGAGAGAAUGUUUUCUGUUUGAUUCUGUACCACUGUUUCCACUUCCCCUUCAGCUUAUCCUCCUUCCACCAGUACUGAGGAAACACUGUUGCAGCUUUUUACCUUGAAGUCGUGAAGAACCUCACGCCCAAGUCAAAGAAAGCCUGUCGUUAUUUUUCUUAAUUAUUUUAGAAAUGUCAUCUCCAAUACCAUCCACUCUCUUGUAACUCCCGAGGAGAAAAUUGAAUAAGCACCCAUUUCCCGGACAUCCGCUUUAAAAAAAGUUUGCAGUCAAUUUUUUUUUUUUUUUUUUGGAUGGCUGUGAAACCAUUCAAUGAUAUGGGCAAAGCCUGCAGGAUGAUAGGAGACCCAUUCCAUGUAAUCAGAAAAAAAAAUAUUAUGGUGUACACAGGCAGACGGCUUCGCACAGUUCGGCUAGUUUAGGUUAAGAAAUGUUUUCUCUCAGGAAAUGCCUUUAAAACCGGGGCUACAUUUUAUUUAAUGAUGUGGAAAAAUUCCACAAAAUAUCCUUAUGAGAAAUGUAUUUAAUUUUCUCUUUUUAAGCCAGUCAGCAAGUAAAGUGGGCUGCAUAUUGCUCGCAUUACUAACACCGCCUGGCAGCGGUACUGAAAUAUGCCUGGUCAUGCACAUUCAGAGGUAAUGUUAGUCGGGAGCACUCCUACGGUUGCUUAGCACUUUCCAGACACUGAUUGGCUUCAGCUGCUGAGAUGUCUGCCGCUAGAUAUUGACAGAUGUUGAAAUAGAGAGUAAACUCCUCUCGCUUCCCCCCACCCCCACCCCCGGCCCUGUGCACAAAGGAAUAAGCCAAACUGCAUCUUGCCAUCCCCAAACAAGAUUCUUGCCUUCCCUCAGCUUUAAUGACCGCGCUGAAGGAAGCAUUUGGGCCCUGAUGGAAAGGAACAGACAUCAACCUUGGCACCAUCAGGGUACGCAGGGGAAGGAAGGAAAAGGCGCGGGGAAAUGGGACCUGGCUGUCGGCGAGCAUCUUACUUCCCUCCUACUCAGGCAGCCAGGCUAACUCAAUUUAUCCUUCUCAGGGUUUAAUCAUAAACAGGUCACACUGUGUCCUCCUCUGGGUCACUUGGUUUCUUUUCUGCCCUUUGGUGGAGGCGGGCUUGCUCUCCUCUGCUCUAUAAACACUGCGAGGCAAUAAUGACAUUCUCAAAAUACGUGGGAUUCGGUUAUGAAAACCACUGGGUCGACGGUGAUAAAACAGUGUUCUAAAUUAUCUUCCCCCCCCUAUAUUUACAAUUUGCAAACUCUAAUUUUUACCCUGGUAGAAAGUAAACGGUAAAGAUAGGCUGAUUUUUUUUUCCCGGGCAGAGACCAGUGCGAUAGAAAAUUCUUGGUGUACAUGAAAAGUAUCUGAUUUAUUUAAGAUUUCCUCUCUCAUUUGACCUUCAUUCUGGAUCGCCGCAGCUCAAGGCAACUUGUCUGAGAACUACAAAGAGAACGUGCAUUUUCAGAAGUCAGAUAUGCAAAGCAAGGUUCUUAUGGGCAGGGCUGCUAAGGCAUUUUAAUUCUGUUAAAGCUGCCACGGGGUUGUUUUUCGUAUUUCUUUUUAAUAGCAUCGACUUCUACAAAUUUUGAAUAUGUACACUGAGAUGUAGGAACACAGUUAAAUGGCGGCUCUUGACUGUGUCGCAGAGGUCAUGUUCUACCCAGAGGUAGCCAACACAUGAUGAUUCCAAGUUGGGCAUUGUCUCCAAUGUGGGUUCCAGUUGAUGACAUUGGAGUAUUUCUAGGGGCAGGAGAGAUGGCU
rnacentral:sRNA from 1 species